rnacentral:rRNA from 1 species
AUGCUGGAGCCCAGGAGCCAGACGCCACCGUCGACAACGACUCCUACUACAUCGGAGGUGCCUACUACUACGUGCGGGCCGCUGACGACGACCAGGAGUAGUUUAGGAGGAUCCCAGGCAGGAGGCCUGCGCCUCUUUUGGUCUGUAUCCCAGUUUGUGCUAGCCUUCUUAAGGCAAACUUGUUUAACUUAUGUCUGUACUCAGAUAUUGUUGCUUCCGCUGACUCGUCUAUGA